UUGCAUGCGUCCGGUUGACCUGUGAGUCAUUAUAUAUAUACAAAUGAACACUCAACAUUACCAUUUUGUGAAUGAUAACACACUAUUGUGAAUCACAGCAAUCUCAAGCCAGCUGUUACAAUACGUGAUCUCUAUUUUUUCUUAUAUGUUUUCUAUAUUUCUUUAUGCCAGUUGGUGAAAACAAUAAAAAUCAAAAGGUUUUGAAUUAGGGCGUUAAUUUUUCAGCUGGGAUAGAUUAAAAUGUUUAAUGAUGAGAGCUGAGAGUCUGAUAUUAGCUCUGUUCGGGAACUCAAAAAUUUGUGCAAACUUGCACAAAUUUUUAAUGGAAGUCGUUCGCGUACUUUCUUUGCCAGCAGAAGAGAGCGCGAGAGAGAGCAAAUUUGACAGUACCUGCAAUUUUUUACUGGAACUUUUUAUGCCAGCAGAAAUUUGCAACUUUGAACAGAUGUUUUGUAAAGGUCAGCUGUUUUAUGAAAAGCAGCCGUUACACCAAAAUGGAUCAAAAAGGCAGAGGUUCAUGGCAGCAGCUAAUGUUUAGGAGAAGAAAACUCGACAAAUUUUACCUCAAGUCGGUUGUUCGACAUUAGAAGACACCAAGAAAAGAGCCAUUAUCGGUUUCCUAGGUAUUUUGAUGGAAUCAUCUUCAUCGGAGAUCUACGAUGAAACCAACACCGUUCCUUUGAUAUUGUUAAGGAGGGAAAAAACUGCCAUGGGAUUGAGUGGGUCUGGCUGGGCAGUUGAACAAGUGACGCACAGUGGGUUUGGAAAAAUUAGUGCAAAUUAAUCAGCCAAUUGUGAACGGAUACAGAUAGCUUGAUAACACAAUGUCCGUAGCCGCCACAUGAGCAAACAGAAAGCUCCCUUAGCCUCACAUCAGUGGUCGUAGCAAUGGAAAUUGUCCAACGAGAGGAGCGGGAGAAGUAGUCCCUCAUGCGUCUUGGCUACUGAUGAGAGAAGGGAGAUCGUACGAUCUAUAUCCGUAUCGCCAGCAUUUUUGAUUUAAC